rnacentral:lncRNA from 1 species
GUAAGUACCUACCAAGUAGCAAACCAUGGAAAACCAAAGCAGGCUCUAUUGAAAACACAUCAUGCCAUACAGGUUGAAUUCCCUUUGACAGGGUAACUGCAGGGAGAAACUGAUGACACAAACUGGAAUCUCUGACAUGUUUGAUCGGAGUAUCCAAUGGCUGGGCAGCGAGUUGUCUUUACUGCACUGGCUUUAUUCGUUUGGAGAAUGAAUUGCUGGACUACACAAGUCCGAGGGAUCUUUGGGAAUACUUCCAGCUCACGUGUAAUGGGACAAAGAAAAGGUUUUUCUAGUGAUUCCGCUCAUUUCUUGAAGAACAAGUUGAGGCUUCCUUAGAGCACUGAAGUCCAACAGUGGAAGAACAGCAUGACAUGGACCACAGCCCUGUGACAUUACAAGCGUGUAUUACAGCUGCCAGAUGGGCUCAGCUGACUCAUGCUCAGGAUCACUCCGACCAGCAGAUGUGAGGCUUACCACCUACCUGCAACCAAGAAUUGAGUUGGGACACCUGUUUAACUUGCUUGCUACCAUAGCAAAAUCUACACAAAGAUAGCGAGUGAAUUAACAUACUCAGCAUACCAAGCAACAGAAGAAGUCAACCCUCGGGCAAAAGGACUGGAAAUGGCUUAAGACAUAAAUACAGGCCUUUAAGUGCGCACAUAGAGAUGUGCGGACAGUACAGUGUGUUGAUCAGAGAACAAAGGCCAGACUGGCUCUACACAUGGAUUUCUUCAUGUUUCAAGAUCUAAACUCAAACCAGAGAGCUGGAAGAAGGUACAGCCAUCCUUAGGUCAUACUCUGUAUGUUUAGAAAUCCCCUCCAUCUCUGUUACCAUUGAAUAGAAAUAGCUCAUGUGAAGGCAGGCAGGUAUUAGAUCACUUGGGACCAUGGUGGGUAAGGCAUCAUCAUCCAAGAUGGAAUCUGUAUCUGGACUUAACUGCAUGGCUGAGAUCCAACAUGGUAAAGUGUUACUGAAAGUAAGGCCUUCACCUGCCAUGUCCUGUCAUUCCCCCUAUCAGCUGUUCCAACAGCACUAACAUUUUGGACAAAGGAAUUAUUAAUGUUUCUUCACAUUUAAUUACUAUUUUUUCCUGGUAUUGACUUUCCCUAACAUUAAAUGUUGCUAUGAUUUCUUUUUCUUUAAAGAAAACUUGUGUGAACGGUAGCAUCAUUUUGACAAAAAUACCCACUCAGAAUUUGUAUGAAGAUUAGAAGAUAAAUAUUAAUAAGACUAGUAUACAUGGGGAAAUUAAAAGGACCUAAGAAUAAUAUUGCUGUGUAUAAUUUAACAUAUACAUCUACUACCCUAUUAAGUGAAUCUGAAUAUGCCUAAUUUGCAGAACUGGAGAAAGCAAAAUAAUUGAACUGAUUAAUAAAUGAUACAGGGCAAAAUUACCUGUUCAGUUAUUGUGCUAUACCCGAGCCUGACAUGUCCAGUAUCAAAGCACACAGCUACCUCCUUCUUACAUUGCAAAUAUUUCACUCAUGUUAAAUUGAGAUGAACAUAAU